rnacentral:rRNA from 1 species
AAGCGUGAAGCCCACCUCAAGAUGAGAUUUCCCCUUCGCGAGAAGUAAGAUCCCUUAUAGAUGAUGAGGUUGAUAGGUCAGACGUGUAAGUAUGGCGACAUAUUGAGCGGACUGAUACUAAUAGAUCGAGGACUUAACCUUUUU